rnacentral:rRNA from 1 species
UUGAGACCUACUAAUAAACUGGAUAAUACUAUCAAUUGAUAAAAAUUCAAAGAAUAUGGCGGUGUCCUUUAUAUAAUCAGGGGAACCUGUUACUUAAUUCGAUAAUCCACGACAUUCCUACCUUUUAUAAUUUAAGCUUAUGUACUGCUGUCGUCAGUAAACCUAUAAUAGAUAGUUUACCUAGUAACUAAUUCUUAGUCACGUCAAGUCCAAGUGUAGCUAAUAAAAAGGGGUACAAAUGGGUUACAUUCACAAUAGUGAUACGGAAAUGACCAAAAAAAAGUCAUUGAAGGCGGACUUGAAAGUAAUAUUUAAAUACUAUUAAUAUAAAAAUUUCUGAGACAUGUACAUAUCGCCCGUCACUCUCAUCAACUAAAGACG